rnacentral:lncRNA from 1 species
UGUGCAAACGCUGACUAUUUUCAGAGAUACUUCUCAACAAAUACUAGACAGUAAAUAGUAAUUCUUUUCAAAGUGAAAGUUUGGAUAGUAGCGUAGCCCAUGAACAAAUCCAUAUGCUUUUGUGUGUUAUACUGUGUUGCUCUGGCAGAUAUUUGUUCACCUACAGGAAGGGAAUGGCAAUGUGGUGAUGUGUCCUCUGCUCCAGCUGGAGAGUUGUGUGUUUUCACCAACCAGCGUGGAAGCAGCAGUGAUGAGAGACAAGGUUCCUCUGAAAAAUGUGAUUUUGAAACUGACCUCUGCAAACCUCUUCAUGAAGUGAGUUUACAUUCUGGAUGGAUUAGAAGAAAUGGCAACUCUGGUGUGGGACCACCAUAUUCUGACCACAAUGGGAACGACACUGCUUAUUUCCUUUCGUUAUCCUCUGAAAUGAGAUCGUCUUCUGCAAAGUUAAGGUCCAAUGUUUUGCUUCCAACUGAUGAAGAACACGUUUGCCAGAUUACAUUUCAGUAUUGGAUCAGUCAGAGUGGAGUAUUGAUGGUGGGGCUUCAAAAGCACUCUGAAGAUGCUAUUAAAAAUAUCUGGAAUGAUUCAGGAGAACUGCAAAACCAGUGGAAAGCAAGAACCAUCACAGUCAAUAGCACUGAAAAUUUUGAGGU